GCCUGGGGGGGCGGUAGUAGACACAUGCGAGUCGAGCGGAUGAAGGAGCUUGCUCCUGGAUUCAGCGGCGGACGGGUGAGUAAUGCCUAGGAAUCUGCCUGGUAGUGGGGGACAACGUUUCGAAAGGAACGCUAAUACCGCAUACGUCCUACGGGAGAAAGCAGGGGACCUUCGGGCCUUGCGCUAUCAGAUGAGCCUAGGUCGGAUUAGCUAGUUGGUGAGGUAAUGGCUCACCAAGGCGACGAUCCGUAACUGGUCUGAGAGGAUGAUCAGUCACACUGGAACUGAGACACGGUCCAGACUCCUACGGGAGGCAGCAGUGGGGAAUAUUGGACAAUGGGCGAAAGCCUGAUCCAGCCAUGCCGCGUGUGUGAAGAAGGUCUUCGGAUUGUAAAGCACUUUAAGUUGGGAGGAAGGGCAGUAAGUUAAUACUUUGCUGUUUUGACGUUACCGACAGAAUAAGCACCGGCUAACUCUGUGCCAGCAGCCGCGGUAAUACAGAGGGUGCAAGCGUUAAUCGGAAUUACUGGGCGUAAAGCGCGCGUAGGUGGUUUGUUAAGUUGGAUGUGAAAUCCCCGGGCUCAACCUGGGAACUGCAUCCAAAACUGGCAAGCUAGAGUAUGGUAUAGGGUGGUGGAAUUUCCUGUGUAGCGGUGAAAUGCGUAGAUAUAGGAAGGAACACCAGUGGCGAAGGCGACCACCAUGCACUGUAUACUGACACUGAGGUGCAAAUCGUGGGGAGCAAACAGGAUUAGAUACCCUGGUAGUCCACGC
rnacentral:rRNA from 1 species